rnacentral:tRNA from 1 species
GCCCCUGUAGCUCAGCUGGACAAGAGCACCGAUCUCCUAAAUCGGUUUGAUCAAAAGUCAGUGCCGCAGGUUCGAAUCCUGUCAGGGGCG